UCUGGCUCCCGCACUCGAGCUGUCAUGGUUCCGGGAAACGGUCCCCAGAUGCGGAAGGAGCCGGUAGCCACCCAUCCCCGCCCAGGGAAGAGAACGCCUGUGUAGAAAUGACUAAGAACAGAUCUGAGAGUGACCUCAGGUGACCUGUGUUAACCUCUCGGAACUCUAACCGGGGCGCGCUGUGCGUCCUGCGGAACGAGGCUCCGCUGACACAAGGCAAGUUCCCAGACUGGUGUUUGGCAGCGAGUGCAGCGCUUUGGGGUUGAGAGAACCCCUUUACCCUGGGCUGCCCCGGCCGGAGAACACCUGCCAUGGAGGUCGGGCAAGUCACCCCCUGCUCUGACUCCAGGCUCACCAAGAGUCCCGAAAGCAGCUGGGCGCCCAACCAAGAUGUGCCAACUAGGAGAGAAGAACUAGAUUUGCAACACAGCAUCCAGUGGGCUUGCUCUCAUCCCUUCAAUCAACAAAGUGCCCCUAUCAAGCCAUCUUCUUGAUCCCUGCUUCACACCGAGCAUCUGUCCUGGAACCUCCCGGAGACACUAGCCUUCAUGCUCUGCGGAGGAUUCUGCUCGCAGAGUUGGCCUGUGGCGCAGCAAGGUGGACUCAGUGAGCAGUAAGCGUGCCGUCUGAUGCACACACUUGAAGAAGCCUUGCUUCAGUCAAAAUGGUCAGCCCAGUCUCAGGGCGGUUUUGCGCCCUCUAUGACCUCUGAUUUCCUUCUGCACAAAACGUAAAGCUCGGAACAUGAUAGAAACGUUGUCCUCCUCCUGCCGGACGGCCCUGCUGCCUCCCCCGCGCGCAGUGGCAGCCAGACAGACAUGGCCGCCUCCAGCGAGCGUCCCUCCAGACCACACGUUUCCUCGCUGCUUCCACGCCCCCUUCCUAAGCGCACCUGGAGACCUGGGACUAAGUGGCCAUGCUGGGGCUCCCCGUGCUCACGCACACGCUCAGAGCAGGGGCCUCUGGGAGGCCGGGGAUAGCCGCCUGGAAGGCCAGCCGCAGACGCUCAUUCAUGUGCAGAGACACUUUAAAAGUCAGAGGGCAAAUCUUGCAGUCUGGGGUGGUAUUCCUUUUAAGGAGAGAAAACAUGCACUCAUAAUUUUGAAUUCUUUUUCUCCGUAUUUUUAGAACUAGGAAAUACUGACUUUUCCUGGAGUGACCUUAAAGUUACCAGGUGACAAAAGCAACCUCAUUUGCCUACGCACACAGCCUGCCCUGUGUUCACUCCCACAUCCACGGGGACAUUCAGUUGAGUCUGUCCUCCCUGGGGACUAUUACAAGGUUAGCACUCUCAGGCCAGGCUCAGUGUCUCACGCCUAGG